AGAGGAACAAAGUAUUUUUGGGGUAUCUCAUAGAUUUAUCUAUGAAUAUUACUGAUUUUGGAGAUUUUCUCUCAUGAAAUUUUGGAGUUGCAAAGUUUCUGUUUAUCCUCACAAGACAUGGAGGGUUUCCAAAUAGCUCUUUUUCUUGAAAGGCUUAUGGCCUCAAUGGAAUGAAAUAACUAAUGAGUAAAUACAGUUUAUAGUUAUCUAAUUAAUUUUAUGAAUGCUAGAACACAAGAAAAUUCUACAGAUUAGAUUUAUGAUAAAAUCCAAUCUUUUAUUCAGCCUUGUAUUCUUUAAAAAUUACCAGCAUUUAUUGGCUUACAAAGGAAAAAACUCAGGAAAGAAGAUGUAGCUGUUAAAUAAAUAUAUUAGCUGUUGGUGUAUUCCCUUUCUAACAAUUUGAAAGUUAAUAAUUGUUUUUGAACAUAAAAGUAACAGCUUUCAGAAUCAUCAUUAAUAUAGCAGUCUGGUCUUGUAUUACUAUGCACACAUUUAUUCGACUGAUAGAAUUUCAACACAUUAAAACUCAUGAGUAGAUGUUCAUCAAAAGUUGUUUCUAGAGAAUGCUUACUCACAUUUGAAAGCAAGUGGUCUGCUUUCUCCAGGCCUUGUUUUUACCUUCUGGCAUUGUUCAUGAUACUGGCUUUGUUAUGUUGGUUAGAUGUGGUAACUUAUUCUCACCUUUUCCUUGAUGAGGCACAGGUUCAGGGAUGCUGGAAAGGACAUUGAAGUAGGCAUUGGCUGAUGGGCCUUUCAGAAGUGAACACUUAAGAGUAGGUUUUCAGAGUAACUCUGUGAGGUGAUGAGUAUGUUAAUUGACUUGAUUGUGGUGAUCAUUUCAUUUUGUAUAUGUGUAUCAAAACAUCAUGUACACCUUAAAUAUGUAAAAUUUUUAUUUUCCAGUUAUAACUCAGUAAAACUGGUGGGGGAGAGAACAAAUAGUUUUACUGAACACUAGGCCAAAGUCAGACUUUGAUGUAUUUUGUCCAUGUGUCUAUAGGUGUUCCUGUACUUACUUAAUUUGAGGAUCUUUUUGCGUGUUCUAAAAUACAGUUAGAACAUGAAUGAGAUAGAGACAGAGUAACUAGGUCAGCAAAACCAAAACGUCACGUUCAGCAUCUGCAAGACUAGGUGAACAGUAUCCCCCGACUCACAUACAAAGAUGUGGUCUUGCUGUGUUCCCUAGGCUGAUCUUGAACUGCUGAAGACCAGCCUCAAGUGAUUCUUCCACCUUAACCUCCCCAAAUGCUGGGAUUACAGGUGUGAGUCACCAUCUUGGCCUUUACUCACUUUUUAGUCUGCUUUUAAAUUUUAAACAUUCUCCAGCAUCAAUAUUCUUCUAUAGUACUGUUUUAAAUGACAAAUUAGUAUUCUAUGAAUGAGUUAAUGUUUAAUGGUUCCCCAUUUUUGCUAAUUAGUUCAUGAACAAUGUUUAAGUGAAUACUAUUAUGGGAUUUUUUUGUUUGUUUUUUAUUUAUUGCCUUAGGUUCAAUUCCUAGAAGUUGGAAUUGUUAAGGUGAAGCAUAUGUACAUUUGAAAGCCUUUUGAUAUGUUAUUUUUAAAUAUCUUUUUAAAGUACAGUUUAUGCUUCUACCAGCUACACAUCAGAAUUUUUCUACACCCUAGGAUCCUAGGUAUUUUAAAAUGUUUGCCAAUUCGAUAGACAAAACAUAACUCAAUAUUUAAAUUUACAUUUGCUUGAAUAUUAGACCAAGUAUGUUUUUUGGGGGGUUUGUUACUGAUGUUUUUUGUGAGUUUCCUUUUACCAUUCUUUGUUGAUACUACUUUUGGGUUUUAAUUUUUUUUUCUUAAUUUACCAAAGUUUCUCAUUGAACCCUUAUUAGAUGCCAAUAGCUAUUCUAAAUUAUUUACAGGUAUUAACUUAUUUACUCCUAAUGAUAACUCUGAUACAGGUACUGUGAUUGACCUAGACAGAGGUUCGGUAGCCUGCCCCAGGUCACACAGCUAGUAAGGGAUAGAACUGGGGAGCAAAUCCAGACCUGUGAGUCCCUACUGUUAAUGAUCAUGCUUUUGAUUCUAGGGAUACUUAUUGUUACUUAUUGCUGGUACAUUUUCCAGUUUGCAUUUGCCUUUUGUUCUUGAUAUCAUUUUAUACAAGAGCUUUAAUUUUUGGUAUUGGAGAACUAAGUUUUAUUUAUUAGUGUAAUGCCUCAAACGUAACAGAUUCUCAAAUCUGUGUGUUGAACAAAUGAGAAUGAACCCAUCAGCAGUCUGUUGAUGACCUUUUAUGUAGUGUAAUAUUUAUCUCCUUUUAAAGGGAUUCCCAGGGCUUCAUAAAUGAUGUACUCUUUGGUUUUUAUUAGGCACAGUAAGCUUAUCUGUAUUGGCUCUUCUGGAAAGUUUUUUAGACGUAAUCACUGCUUUUAAAAGGAACAUGUGUUCUUAAGCAAAUAGGAGUUGUGAAGAAUGUAUUUAUUGACAGUGAUUUGAAUUGUAGAUUCAAAGUGAAAUGAAAUAAUUUCACUCUAGGAAUAAUUGGAUGGGAUUUUUUUUGUAGUUUUAGAAAAUUAUAGAUUUGGCCAUUGUUUUAAAAGUUUUGAAUAAAUUUUGGCUUAGUGUAAGAAGUAAGAUUCUUUGACAGGAAAACUAAAACUACAAAACUUGAUAUGAAAAAUUAUCAUUGCUUAAGAUUUGGAUAGUGUAGAUCAACUCCUCAAAAGGUGAAAUUUAAGAUUUUACUUUUCUCGAACUCCUGACCUCAGGUUAUCCUCCUGCCUCGGGCUCCCAAAGUGCUGGAAUUGCAGGUAUGGGCCACCACGCCCAGCCAAGAUUUUACUUUUCUUUAAGCACUCUUUCUCCCUUUUUCUCUGGUGGUUAAUAGCAGGCUACUUAACGGUGCCUUCUUAGUUUGGCCUCGGUAUUCCUUACUUUAGUCUUUUAAAAAAAGUGUAGUGAUCCAUAUUGCUAAUGGAUAUACAUUAGAGAGAAACACAAAUAAGUUCAUUUUAAUUUUUACAAACCAUCCACAAAAUGUACUGCAUGGAAUCAGGUACUCAAAAAGAUACUCAAGAUGUAAAGAUUUAUCUUGUUAACACAAAUCCAGGUCUGCUUUGUAUAAAGUUACCAAAGCUUAAAAAACAUUGUUGAGUGCUUGCUGUUUUUGUAACCUACUGGUUACACCCUGUUCUUUCCUCUUCUGCUGCUGGUAGUAGUAUUCUUCAGGCCAUUUGUAUUCGUCUGUUCUUGGACUGCUAUAAAGGAAUACCUAAGACUGGGUCAUUUAUGAAGAAAAGAGGUUUAAUUGGUACACGGUUCCACAGGCUAUACGUGAAGCAUGGCUAGGGAGGCCUCAGGAAACUUAGAGUCACGGUAGAGAGUGAAGGGGAGCAGGCGUGUCUUCCAGCAGAGGAAAAGAGAGAAGGGGGAGGUGCUACACAGUUUUAAACAGCCAGAUCCCACGAGAACGAUCUCACCUAACUCAUCAUCCUGAGAACAGCACGGGGGAAGUCUGCCCCUAUGAUCCAGUCACCCCUUAAGAGGCCUCUCCUCCGACAUUGAGGAUUACAAUUUGACAUGGGGUUUGGGUGGGGACACAUAUCUAAAACAAUCACCGUGCUUAGCUGAUAUUGUUAAAUUCAGACUUGUUCUUUUAUAUUAAGCGUUAAUCAGUCUAGUUUACAUGCUUAUGUUAAUAAAAUUUAAUCCAUUCUGAAAGUAAAAGAGUGAAAUGUUAGUUUUCCUUUUCCUCAUUCCCACUUAUAGGGGUAACCCCUUUUAAUCUUUUCCAUUUUAAGAUUCUUCUCUUGGUUGCCUCCAUGACUGUUAAUACAUUAGUAUGUUUGUAGCUGUGUUUUACUAUGAAACCAGAUAUCGCUCCGUGCUAUCUCUUUGCCAGCCAGUUUCUCCCGAUUUUCUUUUAAAGUUUUUCUGUUGGUUAUUAUUAAAAUUUUAUAAAACUAAUUUAAACCUCGUUCUUGGCCAUCAGUUUUAGACAGUUUCUCUUGAUUUCUCAAGAUUUGAAAUGAGAGCUUUGGAGCUCUUUAUAUUUCUUUUUACUUCAUAGCUGUUAACCCACCAGUUAUUUCCAGCUUGUGUAUAGGUAUAUUCACUUACACAUCUUGCUGUCACUUAAUUGAAUUCUUUAUUUUUGUGUUAGAAUCUUCUGAAUAUUGAAAACAGAAAACUAUACUGAAGAUCAUAGUGUAUUAAGACUGAUGGAGAGGGAGAUGUGAUACUGUGUCACUAAGGUCGUUCCAGUCAUAGGAGAAAUGUUACCACUGGAUUGAGGUCUGGUAUAUUUUAAAAGAUGAUUUAAUUCUAUGAUAUGUGUUCAACUUGCACUAGGAAAGUUUUUACUUCCACCUUUGUUACUUUCACCAAAGGUUACUUUCACCUUUGUUCAUGCACGGCACAAAUACCUGUGAACCCUUACUGCCCAACUCAAGAGCCAGAGUCCUCUCUCAUCCUUUUGCUUCUCUUCUAAGUGAGAGGACUGAGUGCAGACUUGGUGUUUGUGGGUGAGGCAUGUGGACUGACAGGCUUCAGUUUAUUUAGCGAGUGUAAGUCCUGGCAGGAAGGUUCUCUUUCUUUCCUUGCCAGGUUGAGGAGACCUCAUUAAACAGUAUGAACUUGUGGUUUUGGCGUGUCUAGUCCUGAUGCAGGUGGCUUGGUAUCCUCACAGGCAUUUCUUUGGCCUUGCCCUUGGGGUGACUGUUCACUUGUGUUUGAGCAGCUGGGACUCAGUAGGUUCCCUGGAGUAGGUAUUUCUUUAGAGCCCCUGGGGGAGGCUGAUCAUGCAGCAGAUAGUUGUUUAGUGUCAAGCCAAUCUCUCCGCUUCUUUCUAUUCUAGUUUUUCUUUACCACCCAGAGCGGCAUCUGCCACUUCUGCUCUGGUUCCUGGUCCCACCUUUCAGCUCUAGAUCUUUUUGACAUUCCUUAAAUUAUUGGUAUGAUCCCAGGUGCCUUUUUCUUGCAGAAAACUGACAAAAUCUUUGGUUCACUGGUAUGUCUCCAUCCCAUGCUUUAUUUUAUUUUGUGAUCUUUUACUGCUUGUUUCGGUGUUUGAUAUGGAGGAUAAGAACAGUGUGUUUACUUUAUCCAGUGCUCUAGAUUUUCUUUUUAGAAGCACCCUCCUUCCCAGCUUGGGAAAACUGAGCUGCUGGGGUGGCUGUUGGCUCCUUUGCUUGCUGUUAGUUUUAAAGGAUUGUUUUCAGUCACACUUGAAUUGUAGCUAUCCUUGGUUCUCUUUUUACCAAUGAAUUCUGGUAGUAUGUUUUAAGAACUGGGUGGCCUUCCUGGCCUUUAUAAACAUUUUCUGUAAUGCCUAGUGAGCUACGAAGUUGCCCAUUGGAGAUGAGGCUUUAUUGAAAGUCAGCACCUGUACUUCACUCCCUGCCUUUGUGACUUCGGGUUUCAAUUGGGUGUUUGGAAGCACUGUUUCUUCUGUCCUUGACCUUGUUCCACAUGUUUUACGCAUUACCUCCUGUGAGCAGGCACAGAGCCUUUCCUUGUCAGCUGGGCUUCAGCUGCUUUGAGGAUGACUACUUAUCCCUUGCAGGUGCUUCCCACCAAGGCUCUUGAAAGGGAAGUUUUCAUAAUGUUCAUUUUUAAAAAAGUUAGACCAAAUAUACCCCCUAAACUUGUUAAGUCUGCUUGUUUUCAUAUGACAUAGAAAUUGAUACAAAAAUACUUUAUGUAGUUUGUAUAGAUGAAGUUGAUUAAGAAAGAUGACACUUAUUCUACUAUUUUGUCUUGAUAAGUACAGUGCAAAAAACAGUUUUUAAGCCCUAAAGUUAACUUGCAAGAAUCUUUUUUUUUGACAAUAUGCUAUCUAUUGAAUAAAAUCUUAAGAAGUCAACUUUUAUAUUUUCAUGAUACCUAAAUGAGGGAGCAAAAGUAUUUUAGUAUAUGACAAUAUACUGUGAGUUAGUUGAUUCAGAAGAGUAAACAGUAGUCCAUUAUUUAAAAAUUUAUGUCUGUAAUCCAGAUUUAAAUAACAGGUUACCUUCUAGCUUUAUAAACAGUCUUAAUGAGAAGUGGGGGACAAAAAAGAAGCAGGAUUGCCCUUAAGUUGGAGAAUAGAAAUAUCUACUUGGCUUAACGUUUUUAUAAAAGAUGUCCAGCAAAACUAUGGUGGCAGCCUUACUUUAGAGAAUGAGGUAUUACAAACUUGACCAAGGUAGUCAUGCCAGACUUUUGAAUAUUUUUCUAAAUUAGAUGGCUUCAAAUUAAAAAAAGAUUUUAUCCACUUGAUGUUUUUGCAAAACUAUAAAGCUGUGUUCUAUUUCUACCUAAAAUAUAAAAUUGUUAGUAUGGUAUGAUUUGUCAUUUGAGAUUAUCUUGGCUAAUACAUUACUGGGAAUAAUAAUGGCUAUUACACAUUGAGAGGAUAGAGGCUGUUUCUGUGUCUCAAGCAUCAUUAACUGCAGAUUAAAAAAAGUUAUCAGUUACUCUAAAUAUAUGUCUUACAGGGGAGAAAAUGUAAUCAGCAUAUUGUACUUUUUUAGCCUGGCCUGGUGGCGCAAGCUUGUAAUCCCAGCUACUCGGGAGGCUGAGGCAGGAGAAUUGCUUGAACCUGGGAGGCUGUGGUUGCAGUGAG